GGGGAACCUCGAGGUUGGGUUUGGAGAGUGAGGAGGCGCAGAAACCAGAGGUCUGAGCCACAGCUCCCCAGGAUCCCCGGCAGGGACGAAGGCCACGCCAGACACACCUGCGUGCGUCCUGGAAGUUGAUGGUGAAAAGUGAAACGCUGUGACGUCUGGUUACCACAUGCCGCCUCGUUCUUCCCCCACCCCCAUCCUGCCUCCCAUUAAAGGCAAAGAUUUCCCAGCGGAAGGCUUUGGAAGUUUCCUCCUCCCUGUGUUAAUUCCCAUCGAGGCAGUUUUCUCGGAUGAGCAGAUCAUCCCACGCUGCCAUACUGCCCUUGAAUAAGUCAUUUCUGUAGCUGAGAUUUGCUCCCCCGGCAUUUAGAUGCAUGGAGGAUAGUUGCUUCCUGGCAGCCUCCAAGAAAUGCUGAGGAGGCCCUGGGCUCAGGAGAGGGUUCCUGAAGAUAUUACCUUAUAGGCGUAUCCUCACAUGUGCUUUCUUCAGUCCCCAUCUGAACUGACCCAGGUCUUUGGAGUUAUUUCCUGAGUUAGGCAGCAGAGAGGAGAAAGAGGGCACAUCCAGCCUGUGAGCUGGGUUCUGUGUGGGAAUAUUUCUAUCACCCAGAGAGUAGUUCCUCCCUACUCCAGAGAGUGACCUCUCCAUGGCUGAC
rnacentral:lncRNA from 1 species